GCUACGGGUGGCAGCAGUGGGGGAUAUUGGACAAUGGGGGAAACCCUGAUCCAGCGACGCCGCGUGAGUGAAGAAGUAUUUCGGUAUGUAAAGCUCUGUCAGCAGGGAAGAAAGAAAUGACGGUACCUGACCAAGAAGCCCCGGCUAACUACGUGCCAGCAGACGCGGUAAUACGGAGGGGGCAAGCGUUAUCCGGAAUUACUGGGUGUAAAGGGGGCGUAGACGGGGAUGCAAGUCUGGAGUGAAAGGCGGGGGCUCAACCCCCGGACUGCUCUGGAAACUGUGUAACUUGAGUGCAGGAGAGGUAGGCGGAAUUCCUAGUGUAGCGGUGAAAUGCGUAGAUAUUAGGAGGAACACCAGUGGCGAAGGCGGCUUACUGGACUGUAACUGACGUUGAGGCUCGAAAGCGUGGGGAGCAAACAGGAUUAGAUACCCGUGUAGUC
rnacentral:rRNA from 1 species